rnacentral:rRNA from 1 species
AUAAUGGGUCAGCGACUUAUAUUCUGUAGCAAGGUUAACCGAAUAGGGGAGCCGAAGGGAAACCGAGUCUUAACUGGGCGUUAAGUUGCAGGGUAUAGACCCGAAACCCGGUGAUCUAGCCAUGGGCAGGUUGAAGGUUGGGUAACACUAACUGGAGGACCGAACCGACUAAUGUUGAAAAAUUAGCGGAUGACUUGUGGCUGGGGGUGAAAGGCCAAUCAAACCGGGAGAUAGCUGGUUCUCCCCGAAAGCUAUUUAGGUAGCGCCUCGUGAAUUCAUCUCCGGGGGUAGAGCACUGUUUCGGCAAGGGGGUCAUCCCGACUUACCAACCCGAUGCAAACUGCGAAUACCGGAGAAUGUUAUCACGGGAGACACACGGCGGGUGCUAACGUCCGUCGUGAAGAGGGAAACAACCCAGACCGCCAGCUAAGGUCCCAAAGUCAUGGUUAAGUGGGAAACGAUGUGGGAAGGCCCAGACAGCCAGGAUGUUGGCUUAGAAGCAGCCAUCAUUUAAAGAAAGCGUAAUAGCUCACUGGUCGAGUCGGCCUGCGCGGAAGAUGUAACGGGGCUAAACCAUGCACCGAAGCUGCGGCAGCGACGCUUAUGCGUUGUUGGGUAGGGGAGCGUUCUGUAAGCCUGCGAAGGUGUGCUGU